rnacentral:RNase_P_RNA from 1 species
AGUAAGUCAGACAGUUGCGUGCUUUUAAAAGUAUGAGGAAAGUCCGGGCUCCACAGGGCAAGGGUGCCAGAUAACGUCUGGCGAAGGUGACUUUAGGGAAAGUGCAACAGAAACAUUCCGCCGAAACAGUUAGGCUGUGGUAAGGUUGAAAUGGUGAGGUAAGAGCUCACCGGCAGUAUGGUAACAUGCUGGCCGUGUAAACCCCACUCGGAGCAAGACCAAGCAGGGAGGUAAUUGCGAAAGCAUAAUGCCUGAAAGGCGGCGGCCCGUCGCUUCCCGAGAGGUAGGUCGCAUGAGGUUGUCGGCGACGGCAAUCCUAGAUAGAUGACUGUCAAAUACAGAACCCGGCUUAUAGACUUGCUCAU